CUCCAGACUCCUACGGGAGGCAGCAGUGGGGAAUAUUGCACAAUGGGGGGAACCCUGAUGCAGCGACGCCGCGUGAGCGAAGAAGUAUCUCGGUAUGUAAAGCUCUAUCAGCAGGGAAGAAAAUGACGGUACCUGACUAAGAAGCUCCGGCUAACUCCGUGCCAGCAGCCGCGGUAAUACGGGGGGUGCAAGCGUUGUCCGGAAUCAUUGGGCGUAAAGCGUUCGUAGGCGGUAUGGCAAGUCUGAUGUUAAAGCCCGGGGCUCAACUCCGGUUCGGCAUUGGAUACUGGCAAACUAGAAUGUGGUAGAGGUAAAGGGAAUUCCUGGUGUAGCGGUGAAAUGCGUAGAUAUCAGGAGGAACAUCGGUGGCGAAAGCGCUUUACUGGACCAUUAUUGACGCUGAGGAACGAAAGCCAGGGGAGCAAACGGGAUUAGAUACCCUCGUAA
rnacentral:rRNA from 1 species